rnacentral:rRNA from 1 species
UCAGCAGCCGCGGUAAUACGUAGGGGGCGAGCGUUGUCCGGAAUGACUGGGCGUAAAGGGCGCGUAGACGGUUGUCUAAGUCUGGAGUGAAAGUCCUGCUUUUAAGGUGGGAAUUGCUUUGGAGACUGGAUGACUUGAGUGCGGAAGAGGUAAGUGGAAUUCCCAGUGUAGCGGUGAAAUGCGUAGAGAUUGGGAAGAACACCAGUGGCGAAGGCGACUUACUGGGCCGUAACUGACGUUGAUGCGCGAAAGCGUGGGGAGCGAACAGGAUUAGAUACCCUGGUAGUCCACGCGGUAAACGAUGAGUGCUAGGUGUAGCGGGUAUCGACCCCUGCUGUGCCGGAGUUAACACAAUAAGCACUCCGCCUGGGGAGUACGGCCGCAAGGUUGAAACUCAAAGGAAUUGACGGGGGCCCGCACAAGC